AAAACUGCUGCAGAAUCGCAUCAAAUGCUUGUUGAAGCUUACGGCGAGCAUGGUCUUGGUAAAUCACAGUGUUUUGAGUGGUUUAAAAAAUUCAAAAGUGGCAAUUUUGACGUGAGGAACGAAGAACGUGGAACGUGGAACGUGAUCUAUUAUGAGCUGUUAAACCUGGCGAAACCGUUGAUACUGAACGCUACCGACAACAAAUGAUCGAUUUGAAUCAAGCUUUGCGUGAAAAACGACCAGAAUAUCAAAAAAGGCAACACAAAGUAAUUUUGCUUCAUGAUAAUGCACCAUCACAUACAGCAAAACCGGUCAAGGAAACGAUUGAAGCGUUCAGUUGGGAAAUACUUUAGCACGCGGCUUACUCACCAGACUUGGCUCCGUCCGAUUACUAUUUAUUUGCAUCGAUGGGACACGCACUUUCUGACCAGCACUUCAUUUCUUACGAAAAUAUACGGUUUCGACUUGUUCAUCUUUGGGACCAAUCUAACGGUGGCACAAAAACCAAGAACGCUUUUCAGAACCUCUAUUUCCACCGUUGGAUUUUCAACGGUUCCUGUCUGAUGUUAGUCUUUCUGAUGAUAUUCACUGGGGUAGCGUAGCAUCCAUGGUAACGUCCUCUGGUUCUCCGCUUCGAACGGAUCUCGCUCACGUGCCCAGGUGCUACUUGAAUGGGAGAAAGACAUUGGGCACGAUGACCAUAAUUAAUGCAAAAAUUUCUCAGCGACUGACGAUGUGUUACUGUAUCGUGCACGAGACAUAUAUUAAUUCAAUGUAUGUAUGAAUAAAAUCAGAAUUUGCGUCAAUAUCACGUACACGACUAAGUAUAACCACGG
rnacentral:misc_RNA from 1 species